rnacentral:rRNA from 1 species
CUAUAAUGCAGUCGAGCGACAGAUAAGGAGCUUGCUCCUUUGACGUUAGCGGCGGACGGGUGAGUAACACGUGGAUAACCUACCUAUAAGACUGGGAUAACUUCGGGAAACCGGAGCUAAUACCGGAUAACAUAUUGAACCGCAUGGUUCAAUAGUGAAAGGCGGCUUUGCUGUCACUUAUAGAUGGAUCCGCGCCGUAUUAGCUAGUUGGUAAGGUAACGGCUUACCAAGGCAACGAUACGUAGCCGACCUGAGAGGGUGAUCGGCCACACUGGAACUGAGACACGGUCCAGACUCCUACGGGAGGCAGCAGUAGGGAAUCUUCCGCAAUGGGCGAAAGCCUGACGGAGCAACGCCGCGUGAGUGAUGAAGGUCUUCGGAUCGUAAAACUCUGUUAUCAGGGAAGAACAAAUGUGUAAGUAACUGUGCACAUCUUGACGGUACCUGAUCAGAAAGCCACGGCUAACUACGUGCCAGCAGCCGCGGUAAUACGUAGGUGGCAAGCGUUAUCCGGAAUUAUUGGGCGUAAAGCGCGCGUAGGCGGUUUUUUAAGUCUGAUGUGAAAGCCCACGGCUCAACCGUGGAGGGUCAUUGGAAACUGGAAAACUUGAGUGCAGAAGAGGAAAGUGGAAUUCCAUGUGUAGCGGUGAAAUGCG